UUCGGAGGUACUCGAGUGGCGAACGGGUGAGUAACACGUGGGUAAUCUGCCCUGCACUUCGGGAUAAGCCUGGGAAACUGGGUCUAAUACCGGAUAGGACCUUUUGGCGCAUGCCUUUUGGUGGAAAGCUUUUGCGGUGUGGGAUGGGCCCGCGGCCUAUCAGCUUGUUGGUGGGGUGACGGCCUACCAAGGCGACGACGGGUAGCCGGCCUGAGAGGGUGUCCGGCCACACUGGGACUGAGAUACGGCCCAGACUCCUACGGGAGGCAGCAGUGGGGAAUAUUGCACAAUGGGCGCAAGCCUGAUGCAGCGACGCCGCGUGGGGGAUGACGGCCUUUCGGGUUGUAAACCUCUUUCAGCAGGGACGAAGCGCAAGUGACGGUACCUGCAGAAGAAGCACCGGCCAACUACGUGCCAGCAGCCGCGGUAAUACGUAGGGUGCGAGCGUUGUCCGGAAUUACUGGGCGUAAAGAGCUCGUAGGUGGUUUGUCGCGUUGUUCGUGAAAACCGGGGGGCUUAACCCUCGGCGUGCGGGCGAUACGGGCAGACUGGAGUACUGCAGGGGAGACUGGAAUUCCUGGUGUAGCGGUGGAAUGCGCAGAUAUCAGGAGGAACACCGGUGGCGAAGGCGGGUCUCUGGGCAGUAACUGACGCUGAGGAGCGAAAGCGUGGGGAGCGAACAGGAUUAGAUACCCUGGUAGUCCACGCCGUAAACGGUGGGUACUAGGUGUGGGUUUCCUUCCUUGGAAUCCGUGCCGUAGCUAACGCAUUAAGUACCCCGCCUGGGGAGUACGGCCGCAAGGCUAAAACUCAAAGGAAUUGACGGGGGCCCGCACAAGCGGCGGAGCAUGUGGAUUAAUUCGAUGCAACGCGAAGAACCUUACCUGGGUUUGACAUGCACAGGACGCCGGCAGAGAUGUCGGUUCCCUUGUGGCCUGUGUGCAGGUGGUGCAUGGCUGUCGUCAGCUCGUGUCGUGAGAUGUUGGGUUAAGUCCCGCAACGAGCGCAACCCUUGUCUCAUGUUGCCAGCGGGUAAUGCCGGGGACUCGUGAGAGACUGCCGGGGUCAACUCGGAGGAAGGUGGGGAUGACGUCAAGUCAUCAUGCCCCUUAUGUCCAGGGCUUCACACAUGCUACAAUGGCCGGUACAAAGGGCUGCGAUGCCGUAAGGUUAAGCGAAUCCUUUUAAAGCCGGUCUCAGUUCGGAUCGGGGUCUGCAACUCGACCCCGUGAAGUCGGAGUCGCUAGUAAUCGCAGAUCAGCAACGCUGCGGUGAAUACGUUCCCGGGCCUUGUACACACCGCCCGUCACGUCAUGAAAGUCGGUAACACCCGAA
rnacentral:rRNA from 1 species